rnacentral:misc_RNA from 1 species
UUUCCGUAGGUGAACCUGCGGAAGGAUCAUUCAUAAUAAAGUGUUUUAUGGUACUUUUUAAAAAUCCAUACCCACCUUGUGUGCAAUGUUAGAUCUCGUCAAUCUUGGCGAGAUUUUUAUACAUCAACUCAUUCUUUAACUAAUUUGUCUGAAAAAUAUUAUGAAUACUUAAUUCAAAAUACAACUUUCAACAACGGAUCUCUUGGCUCUC